rnacentral:rRNA from 1 species
GAGGGAAAGUUGCAAAGAACUUUGAAGAGAGAGUUCAAGAGGGCGUGAAACCGCUUGGAAGAAAACGGCUGGAGCUGAUGAAAAUCUGUUGGAUUCAAUCAACUCGAGUCUGUGUAUAUCGGGUACUUCGACCUUAAUCGGCGAAAACUGGUAUUACAAACACAUGAUUCAGUUGGUGCAUUUCCUUCAGAUGUGCGUUGAAGGCAGUGAUUUACACAGUGGAAUGUCGAGUGUUGCCGGCUGAAGCUUUGUCUUCAGUGUCCCGCACAGACGGACUACGUGUUGUAAUUACUGUUCGCUUUGCGUCCACAUCGUCUCAGUAGCGCUGGAAUGGUGGUUUGAAUAUUUCGAUGAUACUCCGCUCGCGGGUUCGUUGAAUCAAACUGUCAUAUUAGAAGGCGUUUAACACUGAGUUGACGUUGCUUCAACGUUUCAAGUCGGCCUCCCAGCCGACCCGUCUUGAAACACGGACCAAGGAGUUUAACAUCUGUGCGAAUUAUUGGGCUGGAAAACCCACGAGUGAAAUGAAAGUGAAAGUUGGCUUUAGUCAACCUAUAUGGGAUCCGUUUGUCGUUUUAAACCGAUAAAUGGCGCACCAUAGUCCCGGCUCGUCUGCAUCGUCAGUGAGUCGGAGAUAGAGCAGAGAUGUUGAGACCCGAAAGAUGGUGAACUAUGCCUGAGCAGGAUGAAGCCAGAGGAAACUCUGGUGGAAGUCCAUAGCGGUUCUGACGUGCAAAUCGAUCGUCAGACUUGGGUAUAGGGGCGAAAGACUAAUCGAACCAUCUAGUAGCUG